GCGAGAGUGGCGGAACAGGCAGACGCGCACGUUUGAGGGGCGUGUGAUUAUUCGUACGGGUUCAAGUCCCGUCUCUCGCACCA
rnacentral:tRNA from 1 species